rnacentral:pre_miRNA from 1 species
UGUUAAAAGUUUCAUCCGUUUGUACUGUUAAAAAAUAGCAUGAUUGAUAGAAUAACCAUAUUGUGACAGGUGGCGUGCCAUGUGUACCUCCUGUUGACAUACAAAGACCAAUUUUUAAUAGUAAAUAUGAAUAAAAUUUUUAACA